rnacentral:rRNA from 1 species
CGUGUAGGUGGGGAUGCAAGUCAGGUGUGAAAGCCCGAGGCUUAACUUCGGAAUAGCGCCUGAAACUGCAUCUCUUGAGUACGGGAGGGGGAAGCGGAAUUCUUGGUGUAGGGGUGAAAUCCGUAGAUAUCAGGAGGAACACCGAUGGCGAAGGCAGCUUCCUGGACCGAUACUGACACUGAGACGCGAAAGCGUGGGGAGCAAACA